ensembl:lncRNA
AGUGCCUCUCUCCAUUAUUAAUUAAAGUAGAAGACAAUUGGACAGAGUUGGACAAGUCUCCUGGAAGUGUGUACUACCCUGACAGUGUCCUAAAAUCAAGCACACACGAAAAUACAGCACGUUUUUCCGUGAUAUUAUUUGAAAUGAUGAUCAUGUGCACAGAAGACCAGCACGACUUUAAUGAAACAACAGCAACACGCUGUCAAAAUCUGUUGUGCUGCGCUUAGUUCUUUACAUUUGUCUCUGUCCCUCUUCCACGCCCGCUUGUCUGGGGGCGGCUUGCUGAUUUUUUCCAGUUGGUCAGUGUGGCUCUCUGGCAGACGCCUGUAUUGUAGACGGGAAGUUACUCCAACAAAGAGGCUCGUUCAGCUACUUUUCUUGUGAAACUGCCUGGUGUUUUAUAAAAAAAUCUUCCAUUUUCAUUUUUCAAUGUGUUGGGAGUGUUUAGCUUUUUUAUGUGUCACGUUCAGGAAAAUUUUGAUUACCAAAGUCGUCAGGUUGACUCAAAAAUGGGAACAUUGCUGUUGCAUAGUUGGUACCAGAGCCCUUUGACUCAUCACGACUCAAACCAGUCUAUUUUUCCCAUAUUAGAUGAAUUACCUAAUUACCUAUAAAUACAACAAUGGUUUUCAUCUCUAACCUUAGCAACAGAAAACAGCAAAGUCAAUAAUAACAACAAAACAUGUUUAUCAGACGACUAAAGGAAUUCACCAAUUGAAUCCGUUAAGCAUUUUAUGGGCUGUGUGGUCUAAAUGUUUUAGGCCUUGAAGUACAUUUAUUUAAUAGCCUUAACGACAAUGAAUGGCAAAGUCAUUUUGAACAUCAAUCAAUUAAUAGUUAGCUGAUAAUAACGGCUCCCUUGUAUUCAUCAUAAGUACCUUCAUUGAAAUAGGGGUAAAGGCAGGAUUGGAAAGUCCAGUUAAACAAUCAGCCAGGCUUCUUUUUUUAAGCAAGAUUGACUUUCAUGUUUCACGUUCUUUCCAAGUGCUUUAUCUGAAAGAGUUUAGGCUGAAGGAAGGAUGACUAUUCCCUGUUGUGGUCCAGCGAAUAGAUGGUUGCCAGUAGCAUGACCACAUCCAUCUCGACCAAUGGAAGGAAUGAACCAAACACCCACGAUUCUGAUUCAUACGCAAUUGUGCCUUAUCACCACAAAAAAGGAAGGCCUGAUGUGUUUACAGUCUUUCUUUUAGUCUGUUCUUUGCCCCUGCAGGAAGGAAAUACGAUUGUCUGUUAAACAAAAACAUGUCAAGGAGCUUCGCCAUCACAGCUGAAUUUGCCAUAAUGUCAACAAGAUGUGGAAGGAUAACAACAGAGUCUCUCAGAAUCAGAGUUGUUAUCUCUGAUGUGGCUGACCUUCGGUUGAAGAUGCAAGAAGAUCUCCAUCUUGACGUCUGCUGACCUUAAGUUAAGGAGGUGCUUUUCCGAUCAUGUCUUUCAGCGAACGCAGAGUCGCAGCUACAGAAAAGUCGGCCUUUGCCGAAACGAUGGGCUGCAGCGGUCUCUGCAGAACGUGCCGAGGAGUUCUGCAAUUGAACAUAGUUUGGAUAUUUGCCACCGGCAUGUGACAUGCAACACUGAAGACAGGUGGUGACCAGGUAACUGCACAGGAACAUUUAGUUAUUUACCAAAUAAAAAGUGGCAGCGGCAAACUGAGCUCUACUGUACUCGCUAAGCCUGUUUGAGAAAUAGAAUGGCAGCUGCGUCACACUGUAAGUGUGGUAGUUAGCCGGAGGCACAGCCCUGUAAUCAUAGGCGUCAACUGUGUAAGGCAAGGCAAGGCAAGGCAAGGCAGUUGCCCCAGCUUGGAAUAGUUUUUGUUCUAAUUAGAUAAAAAUAAGAAACUCAUUUUACAUAAAGUGGCCUGAAAUGAAUUAUUUGUGCUCCAGAAACCUUCCCUGGGUAAAUGGUAGCCGACUGUUAUUGCACGUUUUGAGUGUGUGUGACUGCGUUUGAGAAGUCAAUGUCACACAGAAGACAAAUCAGAGCCUAGUUGAUGAUGAUUUUCCAAGGUGUGUUCUGAAAGCUUUUUUGCCCAACUGUUGUAGAGAAGUGCCAACAAUGAUCGUAGGUGUUUCAAUUAUUACAACCAUAAUGUCGGCUUGCAUGGUCACGUCCAAGUCAUCUCCUUUGAAGACUUUGAGCCAAAACGACCUGUUUUGAACGACCUUCUGCACAUUAGCAUAUAAUUCAAUGUAUUUCUUUAUUUUCCGUGAAGUCCGAACAGAUGACUAAUGAUCAACCUCCACCAAAAUACAUAUGGUGAACAUUAGGCAUUGUAAAUGUGGAGACCCGAUUUGAAAAGCACAGCAUCACCUUCAUGUCACGUCACGUUGCCAUGCCUCGGCUUAUGCUGAAACAACCAUGUUAGGAGUUUUCAUUCUACUGGCCACUGAAGACUGCAGUAUUAAUUCAGCCCUUUUAUAAAGAGCAGCACCUAUAAUGUAGAAUGCCGUCAUCUUGAUUAGGUGUUUAUUUAAAUACGUGCCAGUUUCAGCGCAAAGAGAUGCCGAAAUGAGUCCCGGAGCCCUCACAGAACUGACGACGCCUGUGAUUACCGUGCAGGCAGCCCAUCGUGUGGUUUUGUGGCCACAGUGUUAUUAUAAAACACUGCGCAUGUUGACAGUAACAAUGAAGAUAAUUUUGAUCAAACAUAUCGUGUGUUCACACAUUUGAAAGCGAUGGCGCUUGUAUCUGCACAGGGAUUUAACCACAUCUUUUAAAUGAAGGUAUUUACAUGUACAAUGUUGCCUAGGAGACGCAAACACACACAUUGCGGCUCAUAUUAGACUCUUCGGUGGGUGAGGUGCGCUAUCUGUCACUUUCUUUGGAUCACGCCCGAAGCAACCGGACCAAAAAAACAUUAUCAUGAGCUGACUCACUGUGUCUUCACAAAAGUCGCCGAAAUAAAGGAAGGCGUGGCACCGGCGUAGACAAACCCAUGGACGUGUUACUCCACCCAAAGUCUCUUUCUCAAACAUUCAGCCUUGUGCAGACAUGAACGGUGGCAGCCUUGUGACGAGCUGGAUUUAAAGUGACGAGUCACCAGAAACGCAAGGGUUUUAACCCUAAUUUAACCUUUAACAUCCAUGGGAAUGACUGAAGGGGUUAAUGGGUGUCUCACUCCGUCUUCUUCACAAAACUGUGAAUCUUUGGAACUAGACUUUGGAGACUUUGUAGGAAUAGUCCUUGCACCAUGGGGAGCAUCUUGAAAAUGGCCUUUGUCAUUGUGUCCACGCAGGGAUUCUCAUAGCCGAAUGAUUCAAAUAAGAUGGUUUCCGUACUGUUAGAAAUCCACCACGGUGCCAAACGCUGUAUUUAUUAUCAGGUUUAAAGCCUCUUUCCUGGUGCCAUUGAAGAUGAAAGAGGGAGACCUUAAUGCAACAUGGUCAUUAAUACUUCCUCGGUGAGGUCAUUCUUUUAUUAAUAUCAAUGUUUUGACACGUUAAGUUCCCCAACCUUCACAAACUUAACACUCCCAACUCUACUAUUUGUCUCUGCAGUCUGCCUGUCUAAGUUGGUUUAAUUAUACACAUAGUUAAAUGAAGAUGCAUUCAUUUCACAUGUACACUAUAAACUGAGGUCUACUUUUAAUUUCCUUAGUAUGCACUGCUAAUGAUCACAGAGCACCAUGAGGUUAUCAUCAUGAUUUUAAACUUAUUUUUGACAGAAAUAAUAUCUCUUAUUUAUAGGCCAACAGAACUUUGAAAAAAACGUUUGAAAUAUUGAGUGGAUUUCUCUAAGGUUAGGCAUAUAAAAGCUGUGUCAGCGCACGCACACACACACACACACACACACACACACACACACACACACAGUCUGCCAUCUCAGUAGAAACUCGCUGGAAAAAAAGACAACUAAGCAAAGCUUGAGGGGGAAAGAGAGAUUACAGAAUAACUUAAACUGCCGAUCACAACAAGCCAACGACUUUCGACGUAACAGGAGACAUGUGUGUGGCGCUCUGCAAGAAAACGUCAGAUGUCACGGCUACUAGUUGGCAAAGUGUCCCGGAGGAAUGAAAGCCAGUGAAGUCUUGUCUUCGGGCUUUUUACACUGCUGCAGUUUAAUCCGUCCCCUUUCUUUUGAUGCCCAAGUGGCUUUUGAAAAGGCCUUGGAGAUGUUUAAAUAUCAAGGAUUUAAAGGGGGUUGCAGCCAAGACAUACGUUUCUAUUUAAAUCCCAGCAGGGAGGCGGGCACACAUGGCUGCUGCUGGUCGUCUGAGUCCUCUUUGCGCGACAUUUGUUCCCCCAUUAUAUUUUAAAAAAAUAUAUCUUUUUUUCACCUUCAGUCCAUAAAAUCUGCUUUAACUGGUCGUGGCGACAGUGUGAACUGGUCAAUGAACACGGUGGAGCAAACAGGAGGCGUUCAGUGUCUUCGAGCUCAACUAAAGGCACUCACCAUCCCGCAAGGUGCAGCGGAUUAAGCGCUGAGCUUUUCUGCUGGUCAGUCCUGCAGAGCCGGUGGUGGGUUGAAUAUCUGCUGACUAAUGGUGGUUAGUGGUGACACGCUGGCUCCCAAACAGCUAGUGAGUCAUAGGCUGUACAAUGGAACAUUUAGCCAGAUUACUCUAUUCCUGGAAUAUGAUGUCUUCAAUGACCCUAUUUGUUGCUGCUCAGUGUCUGGUUUUCAUAUUUGUCAUUUCUUUAAUGGAUGUCUUAAAGGUUUUUCUCUCAGUGAGUGCUGAAUAAACAAACUUUUUUGUUGUAGUACAAACUUCUCAAACGCAGAGCUCAAUUUGGAGUUGUAAAUCCCUGACCUGCGUUAAUUAACAACAUUAUUAAAUAUAGACGUCCCCUCGGAAAAUACACAAAAAAGUUCAAAUCUAGAUGGACACAGACAAAACUU